rnacentral:lncRNA from 1 species
GCCCGGAUGCCCUCCUGUCCCUGCACCUGGGAUGGGACCUCUCUCAGCCCAGGCCUUCCUCUCCUCUUUUCUUCUCUGCUGUCCGCUCUUUCUAGUCCUGGCUUGGCACCAGGGAUGACUGUGUCCCUGGUGGUAGGGAUGGGGCUCCACCCGCUUUAGGCCUUUUUGGUCCCAGCCGCACUCCUCAAAGCAGCUGCAUUCCACCCCACCUUCAGAACCUCGGAGGAUCCCGCAGUCAGCUCUGCCCUCCUGGUGGACUUGCCCCCUCUGAGCCUGCCUGUUGGGGACCACAGGAGGAAGCUGACUUUGAAGGUCUUUCUUGGGAAGCACUAUGGGAUGAAGGUCAAGUCGAAGUCCCAGCCGUGGUGGUGAUGGCGGUGGAGAUAACGGCGGUCUCAGCUUCUCUCGGCUGCAGUAGCAGACGCAGGCAGGUCUGAUGGAUGCCCCUUCCUCCCCAGCUGCCAGGAGUGGGAAGCAUGAGGCGUCCACCUGAUGGUUCUUUCCCAACGAAGACAUCUACCUGCCAUGAGUAAAGCUCAUGGAGCGUCACGUGUGGCCAUCUCUGAGUGAGGCCGGAGAUGAAGACCAGGCUUCCUCCGUCCAAAGUGGGCGCUGAGACCAGCAUGGACUGUUCUGGAGCUCCACAGGAAACAGCUAGGGCUUGGCCAGGCAGUGUCUCAUCUCCCUCUGCUCAGUCCAGCUGGACUCCCUUCCCAUGACCCUCUAAGAAUCCUAUAUGUUGUCCUUCUUUCCCAUGACCCUUGACCUCCAGCUCAGCUUCUGUUUCUGAAGAGUCCCGAGUUCCAGGCUGACUUUCCC